CCGGCGUUGUCAGUAGGCGCGCGGUUUGCCCCUACCGCUGAUCUCUGUGGCCUUAGGGUAGGGGGAACUUCAUGACCUGAAUGCCAAGAAAGAACCAAACCCUUGUUUCUGGAUUACCCUGCAGUGUACGGAUCACAUGAAGAAAAAGUGUUGGAAUAGGCCAAUGUGGAAACCUGUGGCCGUGAAUGUAAUAACCUGUCACAGAGGCUAAGUGGUUUCAAAGGCAAUGUCUAAAAGUGAACAAAUAUGUGAUACAAGCAUUUUCUAUUCAACAUGGCACUGAAAUUCCCUGGGCUCCCAGAGAGGUAAGAGAAAACUUUAAAUGACUUCUUAUCAGACUUACUCUUGUCCUAAUACUUAGAAUAAUAUUUGAGGAAGGAAAAAUAAAUUCCUGCUCCUUCUGCAUCACCACAAUGAGUGCUUUCUUUUCCUUACCAUUUUUAAAAUUGCUCCAACUAUAACAUUUGUUUCAAGAGAUCAAGUUGUUUCCAUCUUGCAGAGCACCCACAAGGUGCUAGUGAGAACUUGAAACAGUUUCUAAGAAGAAUGGUUAUUGAAACAUGGGUUCUGAAAUCAGAAAGUAAUAAGGUGCAUUUUCCAGAGUACAACAAGAUGAAAAAGAAACAUUUCCAUUGAAAAAAAAAUCCUCCCAUAUUCAAUUCCAUGAAUUUUUUUGAGAACUUCCCAGAGUCAAGAUGUGCUAAUAGGACCUCGUGAGUUAAGAUUUGUGUGAAGCUGCUGUUAACAGAGACCAGAAAUAAUAGUGGAUUAAAUGAGACAGGGGUUUAUUUUCUCUCACUUAAGAGAAAUUGGAAGGUAGGCAGUAGGACUGGUAUGAUCUCCACUAUAUCAUCAGGAUGUUGCCCUCCUUUUGUUCUAAUCCACCAUCCUUAGCAAAGCAAUAUUGCUUAAAGGCAAUCCAGAGAGGAUGUGGAGAAAUCAGAACCCUCAUGCACCACUGAUGGCAAUAUAAAAUGGUAUAGCCACUUUGUAAAACAGUCUUGCAGUUCCUCAAUUAAACAUAGUUACCAUAUGACCUAGGAAUUCCAUUCCUAGGUAUAUACACAAGAGAAAUGAAAACCUGUGUCUAUACAAAAACUUGUACAUGAAAGUCUAUGGCGACAUUACUCAAAAUAGUCAAAAGGUCAAAAUAACCCAACUGUCCAGCAGUGUACAAAUGAAUAAAUAAAAUCUAGUAUAUUCAUAUAGUGGAA